CCUCUCCUCUUCCACCUAACACUGUCACCUCCGCCCACCUCCGCCUCUGCCCAACGCCUCCCUUCGCUACUCUUCCAGUACACCCACAUAGUCGUCUUAGUAGAAUACAACGUACCCAACGUCGUCAACUUGACAUUGUUAGUGUUGGGGUUUGCAAAUUUGGUGGCCAACGGGAUAUCGAUGGGAUUCGCAGAUUAUAUCGAUUGGCACCAAGAAGGACGCUAUUGAAGAGGAGAGGUUGGUUACAGAGUGAGAUGUAAAUAACCAUGGCCGGCAGCAGCAGAUGGAACUGAUGCAGAAGUAUCAACAACUUGGGAUGAGCCUCGAAGAUGCCACCACUGUGACUCUGUGGUGAACGUGUUUUCCAAGUACAAAGAUAUAUUGAUCGACGAGAAGAUGACAACCCAAAAAGGAAUGCAAUCACUGGACAAUGAGGAAAAGGCAUGGCAGAACGGGGUUGUGACAUUGGCAGCGUUCCUUGCAUUUGGUUGUGCCCCUCAGCUUCCUUUCGUCGUGGGCGGAGGCGGAAGAGUAGUGAGUUUUCAACGUUUUGCACCUCCGUCCACCUCUCGCUUGCGCCUCUGCCCAAUACCGCCACUUCUGCCCUACGGUGGCGUUGCCGGAGGUGAGUGGAGGAGUGCCAAAGGCGGCAGCGGGCGACAAUAAGCUAC